rnacentral:lncRNA from 10 species
AUGUGCUUAAACUGUGGACUGCAAGGAUCCUGGGCGAUUUUCUAGUCCUGACUCCAUAUGACAGAUGGACACAAAGAGCCAGAAAGGUCCAUUUAGGAUUUUAAAACAAUCUAUCACCUAUCUUUGACCAUAUGGACUAAAAUUGAUAUCCACCAAUAGACACUGAUGCCUGCAAGUCAACAGCAUAAAGAGUGGUAAAGUCAGUGCUGCAAAAGAUGAAAUGUUUUUAAUGUGGCUUUGAUAUCAGGAUGAUGCUGGCCUCAUAAAAUGAGUUUGGGAGGAUUCCCUCUUUUUCUAUCAACUGGAAUAGUUUCAGAAGGAAUGGUACCAGCUCCUCCUUGUACCUCUGGUUCUGGAGGCUAACCAUCCAAGACCAAGAUGUCAGCAGGAUUGGUUCCUGAGGGCCUUGAGGAAGAAUCUGUUCCAGGACUUUCCCUUUGGCUUGCCAUUGGCCAUAUUCUCUCUGUGUCUUCUCACGUCUUCCCUCUGUAUUUGUUUCCAAAUUUCCUCUUCUUAUAAGGACAGUAGUCAUAUUGGAAAAAGGAACACCCUAAUAACCUAAUUUUAACUUGAUUACCUCUUUAAAGACCUUAUCUCCAAAUACCAUCACAUUCUGAACUAUUAAAGAUUAAUGCGUCAAUAUAUGAAUUUUGUGAGGGGCAGGGAGACAGAAUACAACCAACCCACAACACCCAGAUACAUAGCGAAAUCUUCUUCUUCUAGGCCCCCUGUGCCUGUGUCCACCACUUCAUCCCCCAAUUAGCUAUAUUUGAAAAAGUAAGAGGGAAAGAACAGUUGGAGGGGGAAGAGAGAGAGAAAGAAGACAGACAACUUAGAUUAUGUGCCCUAGAUGUUGGCCUUACAAAACGGGAGCAAAUCUUAACCAAUCAUUGUAGCAAAACCUUUUGUUUAUGAA